rnacentral:rRNA from 1 species
GUGAGGAAUAUUGCGCAAUGGGCGAAAGCCUGACGCAGCGACGCCGCGUGGGGGAUGAAGGUCUUCGGAUUGUAAAUCCCUUUCGGGCGGGAAGAUGGGAUGGGGUAACCCAUUCGGAUGGUACCUCCAGAAGCAGCCACGGCUAACUUCGUGCCAGCAGCCGCGGUAAUACGAAGGUGGCAAGCGUUGUUCGGAUUUACUGGGCGUACAGGGAGCGUAGGCGGUUGGGUAAGCCCUCCGUGAAAUCUCCAGGCUUAACCUGGAAAGUGCAGAGGGGACUGCUCAGCUAGAGGAUGGGAGAGGAGCGCGGAAUUCCCGGUGUAGCGGUGAAAUGCGUAGAGAUCGGGAGGAAGGCCGGUGGCGAAGGCGGCGCUCUGGAACAUUUCUGACGCUGAGGCUCGAAAGCGUGGGGAGCAA